rnacentral:lncRNA from 1 species
CUCUGUAGCAGCAGCAGGUAGGCGGAAGGGUUAGUCCCAAUCGAUCUACCUAAUAUAAAUAGUAACCUGAGACCUCCGUAGAUGCUCAUCGACCAAUGGUGCUAAUCAGUGGGGUUCAGAAUGGUAAGUCCCACCUAGAUAUCCCAUUGAACCGAGAUAGGAAAGAUAAAAUACACAGAAAGUACUAAUAAAUUAUCCUCUUAGUUCUAAGUACAAGUAUCCAGGUAAGUGAAUACAGGAUAAUGCACCUAUGUAAAAGUGUUCCUGUAUGGCAUUCAUGUAUGUGUGUCCAUGUAACAGGUAAGUAUAUGUAAACAUAUUCAUGUAUCAGGUAAACAUCUGUAAGUACUCAUGUAUCAGGUAAUGUACUAGUAUAGACUCAUGAAUGAACUGACUCUUGUGUGAUUCCUUGUAAUAGAAGUAAUGUUUGAUAUCUUCAAAUUAUCCCUAUGAUAAUUUACUGUAAUAUAACUGGUUGAUCAUGUAGGUUUAUACACUCUUACUACUCAAGGGUGUGGGAAACUAAAUGAAAGAUGUACACUAUAACAUCAAUACAUAUAUAAGAAUAUAAGUGUAUAUGCAUAGUUUAGUUCAAGAAUGAAAAAUGGUUUUUGUAAGACAUCUUAUGGGUUUUGAACAAUAAUUAACAAUGACUUGAUGUCAUUUUAAUAAACAUUUCAAAGGUAAAACAUUUGGUAACAAUGUGCUUUUAAGAUGUAAAACCAUUUCAUGCAUCACAUUUUGUAGCAUGUGAAAUCUGUUAAAUGACAAACACAGUUAUAAAAUACAUAUCAAUGAUUUAAUAACAUGUUUGUUUCUACUUGUAUUCCCCCCUACUAAAGCAUUUAGAAUCAUUUAAAACAUUGAUUAGGGGUAUGAACUCACUUGGAAGUUUGAAGAUAGCGAGAUGGAAAACCGGGCAGAGUUUCGUCUCGGGAAACGGAUUUUUCUCGGGAUUCUCGGGAAUCUCGGGAGUAAAAUCGACCCUCGGGACUUGAGCAAAAAGACCAGAGCUUCGGGUUUGAACGGGCACGGAAAUCGAGGCAAGAUCGUGAGAGAAAGAGAGAGAAUGAGCCAAAUUUUCGAAAAGCCUCGCAUCCCUUUUAUAGGGGUGCUGAACUGCCUCGGUACGCAGCGCGUACUAGGGCGUCAUCGCUUACGUACUUCGGAUGGGAGGGCGGGUCGGAUGGGACGGUGGGUCGGAUAGCUUCGCAUAGGGGCGACGUGGAUGAACCGAGACCAAGGCCCUCGGGUACGCUGGGCGUACGGGGUUACGGGGCGCGUACCUCUGAUGAGGACGCUGACUCCUCUUCGGAUAUUACUAGCAUUUUGAUUUAAAUAUAAUUAUAAUUUAUUUAAUAAACUUCAAAAGUUCAUAUCUUCCUCAUACGAACUCCGUUUUUGAUGGUCUUUAUAUCCACGCGUAGGUGAGACUACGCUCUACAACUUUCGUUUAGACUCCGUUGGCAAAUUCCGAAAUUAUUUUUAUUAUUUAUUUUAUAAAUCGUCGUGUUUAAGGAAUUUCUUUAAAAAUUCAUAACUUCUUUAUCUGACGUCGGUUUUUGCCAGACUUUUUACCGCUGAAAUACCAUUGUCGAGACCUUCGAUUCUCGUUUAGGUCAUUCCGGCCAAAAGUCGCUCGAUCUCCGAUUCGAGUUUUUAGCUGUCUGUUGCUAAGCUGAACUUGGAAAAAUCAUAACUUCAAUAUACGAAGUCGGAUUUGGGCGUUCUUUUUACGUACGAUCAUGGUUUAAUGACAUUUAAACAUAGAGGGAAUUUAAAUAGAACUAUUUGGACAUUUUAUUAUCAAAGUUAAUUUUAUUAACUCAAAAGUGGUUACAAUACUUGACCUUUUAGGUCAUUACAAAGAGUUGAAAUAUCGGGUUGUUACAACUUCCCCCCGUUAGAGGGAAUUUCGUCCCGAAAUUUAAAGUAGUAAAGAUACUAGUGAACAUGAAAGAGAUGAGGGUACUUUUGUUUCAUCUGAUCUUCGCGUUCCCAUGUGAAUUCAGGUCCCCGCUUGGCGUUCCAGCGAACCUUCACGAUGGGUAUGCGACUUUGUUUUGUUUGUUUGACCUCUCGGUCCAUGAUUUCUACUGGUUCUUCCACAAAGUUGAGGCUCUCGUUGAUCUCGAUCUCGUCGAGUGGAAUAACAAGAGUCUCGUCGGACAGACACUUUUUCAAGUUUGAGACGUGGAAGGUUGGAUGGAUGUUACUAAGUUCGCGCGGUAGGUUAAGCUUGUAAGCCACAGGGCCGAUUCUGGCAAGAAUCUCGAAAGGCCCUAUGUAUCUUGGAUUGAGCUUCCCACGCUUUCCAAAGCGUAUCAAGCCCUUCCAGGGUGAGACCUUCAGUAGGACUCGGUCGCCCACCUGGAACUCCAAUGGUUUCCUACGCUUGUCAGCGUAGCUUUUCUGUCGGUCUCUAGAGGCUUUCAAUCGUUCACGAAUUUGAACGAUCUUCUCUAUCGUUUCCCGAAUGAUCUCCGGACCCGUGAGAGUGCUUUCCGGAGCUCGUUCCUUAGCUAACUGGGUAUCGCCCACUUCAGUCCAGCACAGAGGGGAUCUGCACUUUCGGCCAUAAAGGGCCUCGAAUGGAGCUGCCUUUAUGCUCGUAUGAUAACUGUUGUUGUAGGAAAAUUCAACAAGGGGUUAAUGAGUAUCCCAAGCUUUUCCAAAGUCAAUCACACAGGCACUCAACAUAUCUUCUAAGGUUUGGAUAGUUCUCUCACUUUGCCCGUCGGUCUGUGGAUGGUAGGCUGUACUCAUGUCCAGCCUAGUUCCUAGGGAACUUUGUAAUGACUGCCAGAACCUCGAAGUGAAUCUACUAUCUCGGUCAGAGAUGAUAGAUAAGGGAACACCGUGCCGCUUUACAAUCUCCCUAAUGUAAGUUCUGGUAAGUUUCUCCAUUUUGUCUGUUUCCUUGAUCGAUAAGAAGUGUGCAGACUUGGUCAGUCUAUCGACGAUGACCCGUAUGGAAUCAAGUCCACCCGUCGUCUUGGGCAACAUGGUUAUGAAGUCCAUAGUGAUCCGCUCCCACUUCCAUUCUGGUAUCUCCGGUUGUUGUAGAAGACCGGAGGGUUUCUGGUAUUCGACCUUGACCUUUGCGCAAGUAAGGCAUUUACUCACGAAGGUAGCAAUAUCUGCUUUCAUGUUAGGCCACCAGUAUAACUUUUUAAGAUCCAGAUACAUCUUAUCUGAACCCGGGUGGACGGAAUAACGAGUGUUGUGAGCUUCCGUCAUGACCAAGUCUCUGAAGCCACCGUGUUUCGGUGUCCAGAUCCGAUCCAUGAGGUAUAAGGCUCCGCCACCCUUGACUUCCAAGUUCUUAUCCAUCCCUCUAAGGGAUUCACCAGCCACGUUUUCAGGUUUCAAAGCGUCGAGCUGAGCCUCCUUUAUUUGCGUGGACAAGUGUGAAUGGAUAGUUAGAGUCAAAGAUUUGACUCUACGACCAGUAUAUUCUUUCCGACUUAGGGCGUCGGCUACUACAUUGGCUUUACCCGGAUGAUAACGAAUUUCGCAUUCGUAAUCACUAAGUAGCUCGACCCACCGUCGUUGUCUCAUGUUGAGCUCUUUCUGGUCGAAAAUGUGCUGUAGACUCUUAUGGUCUGUAAAGAUCGUGCUUUUUGUACCGUAUAGGUAAUGUCGCCAGAUCUUCAGAGCAAACACAACUGCUCCUAGUUCAAGAUCGUGGGUUGUGUAGUUAACCUCAUGUGUCUUCAGCUGUCUCGAGGCAUAGGCGAUGACUUUACCUCGCUGCAUCAGAACACAUCCGAGUCCUUGAUUGGAUGCAUCGCAAUAGACAAUGAAGUCUUCUAUUCCUUCGGGAAGGGAUAGUAUCGGGGCGGUGCACAAGGCUCGUUUGAGCGUUUGGAACGCUCUUUCCUGUUUCUCUUCCCAGUCGAAGGCCACGCCUUUCUGGGUCAGGGUUGUAAGAGGUUUCGCUAUGCUGGAGAAGUUCUGAAUGAACCUGCGAUAGUAGCCAGCUAGACCUAGAAAUUGACGAAUUUCAGUAGGUGUCUUUGGUGCUGACCAGUUCUCGAUGGCCUUAAUUUUGGAAGGGUCCACGUGUAUACCUUCUUCGCUAACUACAUGGCCCAAAAAUUCGACUCGCCGAAUCCAAAAUUCGCACUUGGAGAACUUCGCGUAGAGCUUCUCCGCUCGCAAUGUUUCUAAGAUUUUACGGAGAUGUUGACCAUGCUCCUCCUUACUUCGAGAGUAGAUGAGUAUGUCAUCAAUGAAGACGAUGACGAACUGAUCCAAGUAAGGACGACACACCCUAUUCAUCAGAUCCAUGAAUACUGCGGGCGCGUUAGUUAAUCCGAAUGGCAUCACUACAAACUCGUAGUGCCCAUAACGAGUUCGGAAGGCUGUCUUGGGAACAUCCUCCUCUAACACUCGUAGUUGGUGAUAUCCGGAUCGCAGAUCUAUCUUCGAGAAGUAGUUGGCUCCUUGAAGUUGAUCAAAUAAAUCGUCAAUGCGGGGCAAGGGAUAACGAUUUUUAAUGGUAAGUUUGUUGAGUUCUCUAUAGUCGAUGCACAUGCGAAACGAUCCAUCUUUCUUCUUGACGAACAAGACCGGUGCUCCCCAUGGUGAGAAGCUUGGUCGAAUGAAUCCCUUCUUGAGAAGUUCGUUAAGUUGACUGGAAAGUUCCUGCAUUUCAGCCGGUGCCAGACGAUAAGGAGAUUUGGCUACGGGGGUAGCCCCUGGCACUAAGUCGAUUCUGAACUCGACUUGGCGUUGUGGUGGUAAACCGGGAAGUUCUUCUGGGAAUAUGUCGGGAAAGUCGCGUACUUCUGGGAUUUUCUGGAUGUCUUUCAGUUCUUGACUGGUAUCGACGACGUGUGCGAGAAAUGCAUGGUACUCCUUCCGCAAACACUUUUGGGCUUGAAUGCACGAAAUGAUGCGAAGGCUCGUACUAGGUUUGUCGCCGUAGAUAAUUAAAGUUUCGUUGUUAGGAAGGUUAAGACGAACUGCUUUUUCGAAGCACAUAAUGUCGGCACGAAGAAGACUCAACCAAUCCAUACCGAUGAUAACGUCAAAACAUUUAAUUGUGACUGGCAUGAGAUCUAUCUUGAAAGUAUGGCCAUCUAAAAUUAAAGUACAACCUACGAAUAUGCAGUUUGUACUCUCUGUUUUCCCGUUAGCCAUUUCUACCGUGAAUGAACUAUCUAAUGCACAUGGUUUUUGUUUAAGCAGGUGUGCAAAUUUGUGACUUACAAAACUUUUCUCGGCUCCACUAUCGAAAAGUAUGCAAGCAUAUGAGUUAUCGAGGAGGAACGUACCAGUAACUAUCGUAGGAUCAGCUACUGCUUCCUCGUGGCCUAGGGUCAUAACUCUUGCUACCCCUCCAGCCAUUCCUACUUUAGGGAAGUUCCUCUUGUAGUGACCCACUUCGCCACAUCCAUGGCAAGCUUGGCCCAUACCGGCGUUAGGAAACUGGGCAGCUUGAGCUGUUGGAGUUUGGCAGAAACGGGAGGUGUGCCCCUUCCUGUUGCAGUUGGUGCAUUGCAUCUCCCUGCAAGGCCCGCGGUGGUGGAAGUUUUACUUGGUGCACUUCGGGAGAGACCCAGCAUAAGUUUUUGCUGGUAAGGGGUUCGCGGGGAUAGCGGGUGUCACUGUGGCAGCAUUGAUUUCCACAAGUUGUUGUCUUUUGGAGGAUCCUUGUGAAGCCCCCUUUUUCCUCUUAGACCACACUUUCUGGUUAUUGCCAGGGCUAGACUAUUGGGGUGCGGGUGUAGGGAUUGUUGUGUUCUGAGGAUUCCGGUGAUCAAUAAGAGAUUGUGCCAGUUCCUUGGCACUAUCAAAGGUAAUAGGCCUGGAAGCGAUCACAUUUGACUGGAUCUGGGGCGACAGUUCCCAGAUAUAUCUCUCGAUCUUUUUUCUCUGGAGAGCAACCAUAUCCGGGCAUAAGUUUGCCAAAACACAGAACCUAUUUGUGUAGGUAGUGAUGUCGGAUCCAACCAUUUGUAGACCCCAGAAUUCUUGCUCGAGUUUUUGUAUUUCACCUCGAGGACAGUAUUCUUUCAUCAGCAUGUCUUUCAACUUUUCCCAGCUGAUGGAAUCCGCCACCACCAAAGUUAGAUAGUUAACAUGGCUGUUCCACCAUGUUAGUGCUCGGUCAGAGAAGGUACAAGCUAUGAACUUGACCUUGUUGCCAUCUUGGCAUCCGCAGAUCUCGAAGACAGAUUCCAUCUUCUCAAUCCAUUGUCUCAACACCAUAACACCCCCAGUUCCAUUGAAGCUGUGGGGUUUGGCGUUAGUGAAGUCCUUGUAGGUGCACUCCCGAGGGUGUCCAUGGCUUUUGCCGUGGUUUGAGGGAGGUGUACCUGUUCCCGAUCCACUAGGGACAGGAGCGUUGAUUGCUGACACAGCAGCUGCAACUGCUGCUGUGAAAGCUGCCUGGAACAUGCUGGCAUGGAAAGGAUUAGGUGGUUGAACAGGUACAGGCAGUGGUGGAGGUGGUGGUAUCGGUGUUUCGUUGUUUGGGUUACAUCUUGUACUUCUGCGUGGCGGCAUCUUUAAGUAUACGUUUAAAAGAUGACGACAUGGAUAAGAAUAAAUGAUUAAUGAAUGUGUCUCAUGGACUAAUCCCCAUAGUCCAACAACAGAAGGAAUAAUUAAAUUAUACGACUGACUAAGGUACUUAUAGUAAGCUCAAAUACCCAUAUGGUAUUUCUUUAUGGUUGUGUUGGUAAGUUUUUAGACUUGUUGCCAUAUUACAACCAUUCUUGGGCAUAUUCUAAUCACUCCUCGGACCAGCAUAGUUGAUCAGGAUAUGCCAUUCCCAAGACUGACCACAUAUCCAAUAUUCAACAAUCGUAAUACUUUUGUUCUUGUCGUUGUGACACUGAUUUUAGUAUGAAUGCAGGCACGUAUACUUUGUUAAAUAUUUUAUUAUUUAAAAGUAUAACUCUUAGACAGAGUGCUUUAAUCCAUAUUUAUUUAUAGUGAGUAUAUCUUUUAUGGGUUGAUAUACUAUAUUCACUAUAAACCACACUCUGAUACCAAUCUGUCACACCCCAAAACCACGAACGGCGGAAACGUUCAGGGGUGGAGGACGUCAUGUACAGUAUCACAACAAUGUAGUAUAAUUAACAAGCAACAACAUCAUCCAUUGCAUUAUAAGUAAAGUUUAAUACAUGUGUGUUCUUUCAUUGUAAUAAGACACCAAAAAUAUACAAUGAAAAUAAAAGACGAAACUUGUCUGCUCCGUCUUCUCAAAACCUGGCAUCCGUACCUGUCUACUAAUGACCUAAGAAUACAAGUUAUUUUGAAAGCGAGUAUCAUCUUUAAAGCUGGUGAAUUCAUAAGUAUAAUAGUGUCAUUGCCUUGUUUGUAAAAAUUUGUUAUGAAGGUCAUGUAAACCUUUAAAUGAAAAUGUUGAGGUAAGUAUGAAAUCCCUAGAAAAACCCAUAUUUUCUAUAAGUAUGAAAUGUAGUCUUCUACCAAGACCCGAAUGUUCUGUACGUAUGAAGUGUAGUCUUCUACCAAGACCCGAAUGUUUUGUAAGUAUGAAGUGUAGUCUUCUACCAAGACCCGAAUGUUUUGUAAGUAUGAAGUGUAGUCUUCUACCAAGACCCGAAUGUUCUGUUUGUAAAAUGAUAGUUUUUCCUUUGUAUUGACUAGUACUAAAAGUGCUUAGUCUAACUCAUCGUUUAUGUGAAUGUAUCACAAAAUAAAGUAAACAGGAAAAUGUACUACUGUAAGUGUUGUCACUGGGUACUAGGACCAACACAGCAUCGCAUUAAGCGAAAUGUAUAACCUAAUGAACAUCCGAAGAUUGUCCAAUUGUCCUCUGUAGCAGCAGCAGGUGGGUGGAAGGGUUAGUCCCAAUCGAUCUACCUAAUAUAAGUAGUAACCUUAGACCUCCGUAGAUGGUCAUCGACCACUGGUGCUAAUCAGUGGGGUUCAGAAUGGUAAGUCCCGCCUAGAUAUCCCAGUGAACCGGGAUAGGAAAGAUAAUUUACACAGAAAGUACUAAUAAAUUAUCCUCUUAGUUCUACGUACAAGUAUCCAGGUAAGUGAAUACAGGAUAAUGCACCUAUGUAAAAGUGUUCCUGUAUGGCAUUCAUGUAUGUGUGUCCAUGUAACAGGUAAGUAUAUGUGAACAUAUUCAUGUAUCAGGUAAGCAUCUGUAAGUACUCAUGUAUCAGGAAAUGUACUAGUAUAGACUCAUGAAUGAACUGACUCUUGUGUGAUUCCUUGUAAUAGAAAUAAUGUUUGAUAUCUUCAAAUUAUCC